GAGCCGCGCUCGCUGCCGAGCAGGACCCCGGCGUGUCAGCCCCCGAGCGUGCCGAGAUGCCGGCGGGGAGCCCAGGCAGCCCCGGGAGCUCUGCCUUUCUCUCAUCUGCACAGCCCGGGCCGAGCCGAUUUUUUAUUUAAGUGCAUUUGGAAUGUGCACAGAAGAUCCCCGCAGACCUCAGGCGUCUUGGCAGGCUGGUGUGGGGGGUGUCUGGGCGAGGACAGUGGGGGCUCUUCCCCCUAGCCGGGAUGUGCUGGGGCCGAGGCGGUGGGUCUGCUCGCCCAGGGCAGGCGAGUGUGUGUGGGGCGGCUGUGCCCCCCGGCAGGGCUCUGUCCUCGCCCGCUCCCGCGCUGGGACAGGCAUGGCCUUCCCCCCCGCAGCCCUCCCUCCCUUCCAGUGGGCUCCAGAGAGCUCCGGGCUGGGCUGGGCUGCAUUUCCUUGUUUUGCUUGUGGUUGAGGCUGGAGCUGGGGCUUGGUGCUGCAGGGGAAAAACAACCAAGCCAGCCCACAGAGGCACUGCAGCUCCUGCUGGAGAUUUCACUUGAGCGCAGCAGAUCCCGUCCUUUUAAUUGUGCUCUUCAUCCACCGUCCCGGGCUGAGCAGCCUCUGGAGCCACCCUGGGUGUGAGGGAGAGCUUCGGGAGCCUUCAUCGUGCUCGUGGCAGGAGGCUCGGGUGCCGGGGGCCUCCAGCUGCUGUCCGCAGGCCGAGCCCUGCAGAUGCCAGCUCUCCUCGCACCCCCAGGAUGGAGGGCUGGCAGAGAGGGGCCCCAUCUGCGCGGUCCCAUUUGUUUCCCGUGGCAGGUCAAAGCGAGCGUUAGUCUCCCGGGUGCAGCCGCAUCGAUCCGCCUCCCUCGGGGCCACGUGCAAAUACAGACGAGAGGGAAGGAGGCGGCUGGGGAGCGUGUUUCCAUUCUGUCCUCGUGGGCGCCGUGGGGGAAAGGCGGGCAGGCUAGCCAGGCCCAGCGGUGGGGACUUUACUGGCGGACAGGGCUAACUGUGCCUCCAGGUCUGCCCCUGCCCCAGCAGGUGCCCAGAGCUUUCCAGCCACGGUCCCUCCAUCAGCAGGGAUCCUUCCCGCAGCUGCUGCAGGAGCCCACGCGGGUCACCCCGCGCCCGGGAGCCGGGGGGUGAGAGGGGGGGUCCGUCCCGCGGCCGCGGGAGGCUUGGCCCCGGGGCAGGACGGGGGUGGCGGGGGGCUGCAGGGCCCCCAGCCCAGCCCCACCAGCAAACAGGACAGGGCGCUUGUGGUGCCGCUCUGCUGAGUGCACUUGCAAACAGAGCUGAUUUAAUGAACAACAGGAGUGUUUUCCCAGGCCACAUGCUGAGCUGUAUUCAAAAUACAUUUGUACGAACAUCAAUUUUUAAUGCAAUUUAUGCCAAAUGUUGUUGCAAAAAGCAGCCGUUAACAUGACAUUAAUUCAAUCACUGGAAAUACAGUACGUGCUGCUAAAUGAAAACAUGUUAUUAGUCAAUUAGAUUAACUGGAUGUAACUCUUCCAAACACAAUGUAUUAUGGUUUCUACAUGGUUAAUUAUGUUGUACAAAUUACAUGGCAAUAAGGCUUAGCACUGGACACACACACACACACUUAAUACACAAGCUGAAAAAACAGCUUUCAAUUCACAGUUGAACUCUAAAAAUUAUUUGAAAUAUAAAUAUCUUGCAAGCUUGAAAUAAAGAGGCAGAAUUAUGCUGAUAUUGUAAUGGGAACAGGGCAAUUUCUAAAAGAGCCAGGAAAGUCUUUGCCGUGAGAUCACAGCUGUUCAUGGUCGCUUUCAUAGUGCGUUUUAAUCUGCUUUAAAAAGACCAUUUUAAUUUUAAACAGAAAUACUCCUGGCCGUGGUGAAGUCCCUCCCCGUGCAGGAAUCUCUCAGCGCCCACGCAAGUGACGACUUUGCUGCCUCCUCCUUUGUUUGUGUUUUAGGAUGAAUUUGUGCCCACUUGCGGGGAACAGUGCCAGGCACCGGGAGCGGGCACGGCGCCUGGCAGCCGCGCGACACGCCGCGGGCACCGCGGCCCUCGGCACGGCGUACGUGCCCCCGCCAGCACCGCGGGGGGGCCGGCCGGGGGUCGGCGCUGGCUAUGGCCCCGCUGCUCGUGGAGGGAGCCCCGCGGCGCUGCCGCCUCUGGGGAUCCCCGGGGCGGGGGUUCCACGAGUGCCGGGCCCAGCAAGGAGGAGGCUGCUCUUCCUGGAAGGGCAGCGGCAGCCCAGCAAGCUGGGUGCCCCAGGAGACAGCCCCACGCCGUCCCCGCUCUGCGGGGAAGGGGCUGCACCCCCCUGUCCUAUCUCCCUGGGGACCCCCUGCCCACCCACGGCUCUGCACGGCUCGGGUCCCAGCACAAGGUGCCCAGCAUCCUUGGAAGAGCAGAGUGCCCUCAGCCCCCCCGGUUUAACCAGGGCCGGCCCCGAGCCCCGGAGGAGCCCCAGGCGAAGAGGAGCGCUGGUCCUGGCUCGAGGCCCAGCUAACAGGGAGCACUGCAAACCCGGCAGAACGCGAUGGCAGCUCGCGCUGGGGAACCAGACGCGUCCGUCCCCGCUCGGCACCUCAGCCGGGGGCGAGUGAGCCCGUGGCUUCCCGGCCGGGGCUGGGGUCUGCCCCUGCUCCGGUCCCGUCCCGGGCCCUCUCCCGUGUCCCUCUCGUGCUCCCCCGCACAGCCCCUCUCCCCGCUCUUGCCCAGCGAGGCUGGAGCUCAGCUCACAACGUGCUCUUUGCCAAACCCGGCCCUGGCAGCCCAGUCCCCCCUCACCUGUUGGCACAAGGGGGGUUCCCCCCUGCCCUGCUGCCGGCCCUUUCCACCCUCCCCAGGAGCUCCUUUGCACUUGCUGGGGGCUGGCAAAUCUCCUCCAGACUGUUGUCCCCCGGGGGUGUGGGACAUGGGCCAGCGACUGCCCCUCCCCUGGGACCCUGUGCUGCAGAAACACCCAACUGCACAUCAUCCUGCAAACAGGGCAUACUCAAUCAGUAAUCUGAACGGCACGGCAGUGGCCCUGUGAAGCUCAGAAGGGCGGGGGAGCAGGGGCGAAGCGAGCCGCACCGGGAGCACGCUCUGCCCGGCGCUGGUGCCUCUGUGUCACCGAAACAGCCCCAGCGCCGCAGGGCUGAGCAGGAUGCGACCAGGAGUGUAGGUAAGGGGAAAAAGGAGAAGUGGAGCAGUGGAUAGGUAAAACACAAGGUGCAACGCGGGCAGGCUGUGCUGGCAGGCUGCUAGAGCUGUACAGCGUGAGCUGGGGAGGCCGGGCCAGCCCUCUCCAGGGGUGCUGGUAGUGGUGCGGAGCUGAGGCGCCCAGGCAGAGCCGAGGAGGAGCUAUGCAGAGCACGGGGUGGGGGGGAGAUGCCGGGCUGCUCUCCGCCGCGAUGGGCACGGUGGUUCAGCAGUGCCUGCGCGCACAGGCCCGUGCCGAGAGCGGCUCUCGCCUGGCGGUGCGGGGCCGGGCGGUGCGGGGGUGCGCGGUCCCCGGGGGGUGCGCGGAGAAACCGCUUUGCCCUCGCAAGAGCCCGUCCGCGCCCGCAGCUCCCCGAGCGACGGCGCCCGCGCUGACCUGCAGCUCCCCGCGGCCCCCGGCCCCGCUGCGGAGCGGGGGCUGCACCGGCAGCCGCAGCCCCAGCUCCCGGGGUGCUCACCCCACCCGGGGUGCCCAGGGAUGCGUGCCGGUAUGGGCAGCUGCCGGUGAUGGGCCGAGAUUUAAUUUGACAGAAGCAGGGGGCACGAGGGGGAGCCGAGUCGAUGCAGUGGAGUACAGUUUAUUGGUUUCACCGGGAGCAGAGAACGAUUUGAGCAACCUCUGUACCGCUGGUCCAGACACACACCACCGCACUGUUGACUUAACAGCCGCUGCUGACAGAGAGAAGUGAUAAAGCUCUUGGAGAUAUUCCUGUCUCAUCUGUCUCGGGUAAAUCAGAUGAAGGCUGGAAACAUCAGAGGAGGCAAAAUGCAAAAGCAAUAAAAAACUCCUGACUCUCAUUGAAGGCAGAAGCUGGUCCGACAUGACCACUGGCAACAGAAAGAUUUCACAUGAUCAGGGGGUUGCUUACUUGAGGAAUUGUUGAUUAUUUAGUGGCUGCUUAAGGGGCUGGGGGAAAAAGAAAUCAAAGCUCCUGCUGUUCGCAGGUUGAUGAAAGGACUGCAUGCUGCCCCUCUGCAGCCCUUGUUUACCACCAGCCUUACCUGCUCAGAGUAGUUGGAGAGAUUUCUGACUGCUUGCUCAGAAAUAAAAGGAGCCCCAGAAUCAAUCAUUUGUUUACAUUGUAUAACUUGUUGAAAAUCAAUUGGCUCCACAUGUUGCAGAUCUGAUUGCAUUUUGUUAGCGGUCACAGGGAAUGGUUUUCCCUUGACAUGCCUGUGUUCGCGGUUUCUCCAAUGCAUCAAUUGUACCAAGCUUUUAGGAUAAUUGAGACCGAGCAACAAUCCCCUUUAUAAAUAUUAACUCUGAUAUGCUUGGGAAA